rnacentral:rRNA from 1 species
CACGCCCUAAACUAUGUCAACUAGUUGUCGGGUCUUAUUAGACUUGGUAACGUAGCUAACGCGUGAAGUUGACCGCCUGGGGAGUACGGUCGCAAGAUUAAAACUCAAAGGAAUUGACGGGGACCCGCACAAGCGGUGGAUUAUGUGGAUUAAUUCGAUGCAACGCGAAAAACCUUACCUACCCUUGACAUGUCAGAAAGUUUUCAGAGAUGAAAGUGUGCUCGAAAGAGAAUCUGAACACAGGUGC